ACGAACGCUGGCGGCAGGCCUAAAACAUGCAAGUCGAGCGCCCUAGCAAUAGGGAGCGGCGCACGGGUGAGUAACACGUGGGAAUAUGCCUUUUGGUACGGAAUAGCUUCGGGAAACUGGAAUUAAUACCGUAUGGUCCCUUCGGGGUAAAGAUUUAUCGCCAAAAGAGUAGCCCGCGUUGGAUUAGCUAGUUGGUAGGGUAAUGGCCUACCAAGGCGACGAUCCAUAGCUGGUCUGAGAGGACGAUCAGCCACACUGGGACUGAGACACGGCCCAGACUCCUACGGGAGGCAGCAGUUAGGAAUAUUGGACAAUGGGCGCAAGCCUGAUCCAGCCAUGCCGCGUGAGUGAUGAAGGCCUUCGGGUUGUAAAGCUCUUUAGUCCACGAAUAUAAUGACUGUAGUGGAAGAAUAAGCCCCGGCUAACUUCGU
rnacentral:rRNA from 1 species